rnacentral:rRNA from 1 species
AGAGUUUUUUCCUGGCUCAGGAUGAACGCUGGCGGCGUGCUUAACACAUGCAAGUCGAACGAAGCGCCUUGCCGGAACCCCUUCGGGGAGGAAGGCAUUGCGACUGAGUGGCGGACGGGUGAGUAACGCGUGGGCAACCUGCCCCAUACAGGGGGAUAACAGUUAGAAAUGACUGCUAACACCGCAUAAGCGCACAGGGCCGCAUGGCCCGGUGUGAAAAACUCCGGUGGUAUGGGGAUGGGCCCGCGUCUGAUUAGCCAGUUGGCGGGGUAACGGCCCACCAAAGCGACGAUCAGUAGCCGACCUGAGAGGGUGACCGGCCACAUUGGGACUGAGACACGGCCCAAACUCCUACGGGAGGCAGCAGUGGGGAAUAUUGCACAAUGGGGGGAACCCUGAUGCAGCGACGCCGCGUGAGCGAAGAAGUAUCUCGGUAUGUAAAGCUCUAUCAGCAGGGAAGAAAAAUGACGGUACCUGACUAAGAAGCCCCGGCUAACUACGUGCCAGCAGCCGCGGUAAUACGUAGGGGGCAAGCGUUAUCCGGAUUUACUGGGUGUAAAGGGAGCGCAGGCGGCGCGGCAAGUCUGAUGUGAAAGCCCGGGGCUCAACCCCGGGACUGCAUUGGAAACUGUCGCGCUCGAGUGUCGGAGAGGUAAGUGGAAUUCCUAGUGUAGCGGUGAAAUGCGUAGAUAUUAGGAGGAACACCAGUGGCGAAGGCGGCUUACUGGACGACAACUGACGCUGAGGCUCGAAAGCGUGGGGAGCAAACAGGAUUAGAUACCCUGGUAGUCCACGCCGUAAA